AUUGAACGCUGGCGGCAUGCUUUACACAUGCAAGUCGAACGGUAACAGGCCGCAAGGUGCUGACGAGUGGCGAACGGGUGAGUAAUGCAUCGGAACGUGCCCAGUCGUGGGGGAUAACGCAGCGAAAGCUGCGCUAAUACCGCAUACGAUCUAUGGAUGAAAGCGGGGGGACCGUAAGGCCUCGCGCGAUUGGAGCGGCCGAUGUCAGAUUAGGUAGUUGGUGGGGUAAAGGCUCACCAAGCCGACGAUCUGUAGCUGGUCUGAGAGGACGACCAGCCACACUGGGACUGAGACACGGCCCAGACUCCUACGGGAGGCAGCAGUGGGGAAUUUUGGACAAUGGGCGCAAGCCUGAUCCAGCAAUGCCGCGUGCAGGAAGAAGGCCU
rnacentral:rRNA from 1 species